CGUACCGUAAUUUUACGCCAUGGAAUAAUAUGUAGAACGGACGAUUUUGAAUUCGAGAGGUUUGUUCAAUGUACCGGAAGCGAUCGAUCAAGGAACAUUAGUUAUUUUACACGUCACACGCGACAGGAGAGGCUUGUGUUAAAUGCGCAUAGAUCAUGCCAGAGAACGUUAUUCAUUCUCGGCUGUAGCGAACAGCAACGAACCAGGAAACGAUACUUCUUCGCCAAAAAGAAAUUAACGAAAAAAUUCUUAGUUGUUUGUAUCACUCACACAGAGAUUUAGGAACAAUAACAUGUUGAAGAUGAGACACGCGAAAAAUGAUCGAUAUCGUUUUCGUUCUUUCUAGCAGUCAGUUUUAAUUACGCUUAUAAAGCUAAUACUUUGUGGAUAAAACAAGUCAGAUUGGAAAGGCUUAUUCUUCCCGUUGGAUAAAAACCAGAGUUCGCAAUUUUUAUACGCGAUUCAUCGUGGCACCAGAAGCAGAAGUAAAAUAAACGAUCGAGUCGGAAUCGUCGCAAAUCAACUGGCUCCUUCUUUUACGAUUUAUUUUUCAAAGCUGAGAUUUCGUCUUUCGUUUGAGGAUUCGUUGAACGUGCUUUCUGGUGAAACGAAAAGGUUCCCCUUUCUAACUACGUCUAUUCACUUUGCUUUGUACUUUUCGCAUAAUGUAGUGUAGUAUAAAGUUGCAAUUCAUCUCUUUAUUUUAUUUUUUGUUUCUUUUUCUU